rnacentral:rRNA from 1 species
UACGGAGGAUGCGAGCGUUAUCCGGAUUUAUUGGGUUUAAAGGGUGCGUAGGCGGACUGUCAAGUCAGCGGUAAAAUUGAGAGGCUCAACCUCUUCCCGCCGUUGAAACUGGUGGUCUUGAGUGGAUGAGAAGUACGCGGAAUGCGUGGUGUAGCGGUGAAAUGCAUAGAUAUCACGCAGAACUCCGAUUGCGAAGGCAGCGUACCGGCAUGCGACUGACGCUGAGGCACGAAAGCGUGGGGAUCAAACAGG